AACGAACGCUGGCGGCAUGCCUAACACAUGCAAGUCGAACGAGACCUUCGGGUCUAGUGGCGCACGGGUGCGUAACGCGUGGGAAUCUGCCCUUGGGUUCGGAAUAACAGUUAGAAAUGACUGCUAAUACCGGAUGAUGACUUCGGUCCAAAGAUUUAUCGCCCAGGGAUGAGCCCGCGUAGGAUUAGCUUGUUGGUGAGGUAAAAGCUCACCAAGGCGACGAUCCUUAGCUGGUCUGAGAGGAUGAUCAGCCACACUGGGACUGAGACACGGCCCAGACUCCUACGGGAGGCAGCAGUGGGGAAUAUUGGACAAUGGGCGAAAGCCUGAUCCAGCAAUGCCGCGUGAGUGAUGAAGGCCUUAGGGUUGUAAAGCUCUUUUACCCGGGAUGAUAAUGACAGUACCGGGAGAAUAAGCCCCGGCUAACUCCGUGCCAGCCGCCGCCGUAACAC
rnacentral:rRNA from 1 species